AAAAAGGAGAGAGAAACUCUAAGAAAGAAAGGUGAGUCACCUUCAUUGGUGCUGAAGGGUAUUUGAGAUGAUGACUCAGAAGUAAAAAGACUCACAUGAUAAGGGCGAGGACUUCGUUGAUGUGUCUUUAUCUGCAGAGUUUGUCAUGAGGCCUGGCUCAAGGUGGACAGUCAGCUGGCCGCUGUGUGUUAUUUUGGAUGCCAUGGGAAAUGCAGGGUGGGCAGGACUUCCUGGAGAAGGACUCAAAAGAGAGGGAUCUUGAAGUGGGCCUCUUCUUUCCCCUCCCUGUUCAUGUCACCCCAUUAUUCUUCAUCCGUUCCUGAACACCACACACACUGGAAGCUUUGGUUUUAGCAUUCUUAAAACAAAUGUGACCAUCCCUUUGCCUUGGUGGCUUUUCUGGACAGGGAGCAGAAGGGGAGAGGUUCUUUGGCCCAGUGAAAACUGACCUUAAUGUUUAGGUAGAAUUUAAGUUUAAAAAGGUUUCAUUUGGUCUGCUUAUCCCCUUGAGGACAUCUGUGUUUCUUCUCCCCUACCUUGCAAUUCAGCAGAACAGGGACAAAAGUGACACCAAAGCUCUCCAGUGUCCCUGCCUCUGGAAGCGUUACCGAGAUGGCUGUUCAGAAUCUUAGAUGGAAAUGUAUACACGGCACUGACACACGCCUGCCAGAGCAAACCAGAGCUUUCCUCACAUGGGAUUCAGGGUCAGUGUGAGAGGCAGCCAGCAGGCAAGGGAUCCCUGCCAACAACGUUGACAGAGCCCCAUUUCCACACUAAACCAAAGCCUCGCUGCCCCAGAGCGGCGCACCCCCUUUCCCUUCCUUCCGCUUCGCACAGCCCAAGACAUGUUUGACCAGAACUGCAACAUUUCAGACAUAAACCAAACUCAGCCUGGAAAUCCUAAUUAAAAACAUUCCAUUCCCAGGUGGCACGAUUGCAUCCUGCCUAAAACUUCUGGCCCACAUCCCACCACCCAGAUGCUGAAGCAAAAGCUUUCCCCACUUAACACCAAAACCUGCACUCAAUGUUUCUUCAGGGACAAAGGAAAAAAAAAAGUACACUUACACAGAGGUCAGCCUACAUAUUCAUUAAGGAAAAAGAGCGUGGCUUAUUCAUCUGUCUUUCAAACUUUUGAUUGCUGGCAUUAUGAUUAUGAUUAUGAUUAAUUACCAUGACGGAUCAGGAAUUGGAGGAGAGAAUAAAUGCCGGUGCUCUGAAAUGAUCUGCCCAACUCUGUCAUCUGUAACAACCAGUGAUAACUCUCUUGUCUUGUAAAAAGGGUUUGUACAUAACUUGUACAUGGUUUCAUUUUGUAUUUUUCGCAGAUUAAAAAUUUAUGUAUUUGUGUUCUAAAA
rnacentral:lncRNA from 1 species